AUGUACCUUGCUCUCAUCCUUGGCACUUCUUGCUGAAUCUUUGCAUGUUGAGACCGCUAAGGAACAAUCGUCUCUUCUAGCUAGUCAGCAGAAAAAAAAUUGGUUCAUUCCAGCAUAUGACGGUGCACAUAUGGUUAUAGAAGUAAUUAAACUAUUUUUCAAUGAGCCAUGGAAUAGUUGACAAAGUGUGCAUGGAGUGAUUGUCAUGAUAAUGAAGUAGACCACAAUUUUUGGUUGUAAGCAGCUCUACAGGUCAAAGAACACUUGUAUAAGGCCCGAAAUAAAUGGGUAAAACCUAGUUGGUUGAAUGAUAAAGUGUGGUCUAAGUUCUUGAUAUUAUGGAAUACUCUUAAAUAUAAGGCGAAGAGGGAAUGGGGAAAGGCAAAUUGAGCCUCUGAAAUGGGUGGCUCGCUGUACACCAGAGGUUCGAUGAGUUUUACUACCCACCAAAGAAGACUGGAGGGAUUUCAAAAAAGCAUUGAAGAUUGGGGCCAAACUCAACCUUCUUCAAAGGAUGGUACCAUGGUCCAACCAUCGCCUGCUGAUAUGACUAGAAAAUGGACAACUGUGGUAGGUGGUCCAAAGAAGGGUAAAACCUACAGGCUUUGAGUUAACCAAUCCUCAAGUAGUUCUUCCCCAAUAUUGCCCAAAUCUGCUUCUAUUUUGCAAAAUGUGGAAGAAAUGAAGCAAUGAGAACAAAAAUUGAAAAGUUGAUGCAACACUGUACAAAAUUUGCCAAGUUUGAGACAUUAGUCAAGAAGCAUAUGCCGCAAGUAUUUGAGGAUGGGGAAGAUAGGGAAUCACAUGAUUAGAUUACAUUGUAGUGGUUGGUUUUUGUUUAUGAUUGUGACAUUUAUACUGGAACUAUUGCAAUUGGUGUUUUGUUUUGGACUGUGACGUUUAGACUUUUUUGUUUUGGAUUAUGACGUUUAGACUUGUCUUGAAAUGCUUAUACUAUUUGAUUCCGCUA